GUUAAUGGUGAUGUGGUCUAAUUUUCGACAAUACAAGUAUCUGUGGUCGAAGGGUAUCUGAGAAAUUUACAAAAAAAUGAGAGUGGGUUAUUUGUUUAUAUUUUAUUCUUUUUUCACGUUUAUAUUAGUAAUAUAUGGAAGACGUAUGCCAGACAGCAAGCUAUGUGCGGAUGCGCUAUGUGAAACUCCAAUAGCAGAAGCUUACACCUUGAUGAAUUAUGGCAGUGACCACCCAAAAAUUUUAUCAUUUAAGGCAAGACAACCUGUUGUUGUUUAUGGAAGAGCAGCUGGAAACAAAGAGCAGUUAUUGGAUGUGAAGAUUAACAAUAGAAGAGGCUAUAUUCCUAGGGGCUUAAUCAGGGAAACAAAGGUUCUUGUAAAGGCCAAGGAUGUCUCGCAUGUUAUCCCUAUUGGAGAUGAUGGUGAAACACAACUAGUAAACAAAAGUAAUGGGCCACAAACACAUCAAGAAACCUUAAAACAAACUAAGGAUACAGAUUCACAACAAUUAGAAGUGGACACUAAAGAUCAGGACAUUUCCAGUACAAUACAGUACAGGAAACACGAAAACUCAGCAGAGCAUAUGGAAGAUAAUAUCACAUUGCACCACAAUGCAACACCAGCUCUUGAUGUUUCACCUGGAACGGUGUUGGAUGAACCCGAUAACCAAACGGACUCUUUCACUUCUGGCACAUCAGCGUCUAUUGCGCACACAGUCACAGAGUCACAUUACAUGCAGUAUUCUACUGUUUCCCAUUUUCAAAGGAAGCUUCACGCCAUUGAAGACAGUGAGGAAAUUGAAGAUAAAAGUGGAGAGAUAACUGAUGGGAGUGCUGAAGACAAAGAAGAUCAGAGUCUCCUUGGUGUUAUCCAUUCUGCAAAUUCUGAGCAAGUGACAAUGAAUGCAGCAUCUACUGACAUAAAUGAGAUGUCAGAUAGAGUACAGGCACUGAAUGAAGAUAAUUAUUCUGGUGAUGAUACAAGCAGAGAAGAAACAGAUAGAAAUAUCAAAGAUGGUGAAAGUGAGCCCAUUAUUUCUGCUAAGGACACUGUUACAGUUGAGAAACAUGAGGAUGGGAAUAAAAUAGAGAUUGUCAGUGAAGAAAUAAAUGUUGAUUCAUUAAAUGGAACAGUACUAGAAACCCCACAACACAAUGAUACUGAAUUUGCAGUGGAGAUGAAUUAUAGUAAAAGUUCUGCUGAUAACUUGCAAGUACAUUCAGACAUUUCAGGUGGCUCUGAAAUGGAUAGAAAGGAACAGGAAGCACAAGUGUUUUCAUCUGGUGCUGAUCAUGAUGCUGCUUCAGGGAGUACUCAAGAAGAGCCACAGGGAUCACAUGACAUUUUGGAGAACAAUGUAUUGCUGCCAAACGACACUGCAGAUCAACCACCCCUGUCUCCAAAGAAGACAGAUGGCCAGGAAAUGGAUGGAAAGGAACGUGAAGUACAAGUGUCGUCAUCUGGUACUGAUCUCCAUGUUGUUGCAGGGAGUACUCAGGAAGAGCUACAGGGAGCCCAUGACAUUUCGGAUCAUCAGAAGAUAUUGUUGCAGGAAGAUACAACAGAUCAACCAUCCAUGUUUGGCCAUCUGUCUUCAGAGGAGCCAGAUGGGGGUAGUUCAUUAAACUUUAAUAUGAAUGAUUCAGAAAUUAGUGGACAAAAUCUUGAAGUAGAAAGUAAAGUAUUAAGAAAAGACUCGGCAGAAUCAGCAAAAGAAAUAGAUACAAGAUAUAGUGAUGAGGGAAGUGAUGUGGAAACCAAAUAUUCACAGGAAACUGUUGAUAAUAGUAUGGAAGGUGAUGAAUAUGCUAGUCCUCAAGUGUUUGCUAGUUCUGAAGUAGUGCCCGAAGAAAUAAGAUCUCAGAUUUCCCCAGAACUAUUGGAAAAUGAUAGAACUGAAAAUUCAAAGGAUGUUAAUGUCACAGAAAUUGCUGGAGAGUUUGAUUCAGAUGCUGCAGAAAUUGCCCAGGAGAAUGGCGAUUCAGGCAGUUACGAUGCAGAAAAUAUUUCAUCAGAAGAAAAAGAACAACUAGGAGGAGGAGGAGAUAUGUCAGGAGAUGAUAUAGCAAAGUUGGGUACGGCUGCUGAAUCAUAUAAUGCUGAUUUUUUAGUUGAAGAGGUAACAGCCAGUUCACAUGAAUUGAGUGUGACAGAAACAAGCAUUGGCUCAGAAUCUCACCCUGUCUAUGAUCUGCAGCAAGAUGAGGACAGUGAAGUAGUGACAGUCAGCUAUGAUCAUACAGAGACGACUUUGAAUCCUGAGAGUCAAGAUACUCAGUUUCAGGAAACUUCGGUGCCAGAAGAGCAAUUUAAGGCAGAGGACAUAAAAGAUGAAGGUUUUUUUGCAGGGCUAUCAGAAUCGGUGCGUUCAACAUUUAAUAGCAUAACUGGUUAUGGUUUUGGUUCUUCAGUCACUGAGGGAGAAAGAGAAGCAGAUGUAGUUUCCCAUAGUAAAGAGUUUGAAGGUGAAGACACACAAAACAAAGAGAAAUUAGCUUCUGAAGAUAUGCUAGUCCCUUCUGCCUGGGAUAGGGACCAUUCAUUGCAAGAGGCAGCACAUCACGUGGCAACUGACCCAGAUCAGACUGGUCACAAAGUAGAUGUUGAUGUGCCUUCUGGAAGAGACCUGAGUGAGAUAUCUUACCAGUCAUCUGUCUGUGAGACUGGGAUAAACUGUGGUGGACAGUCUGGCUUGAUACCAAGUGAACCACAACUACAAGAGAGUUCUAUGUUUGAGGAAGUACCAGAGGACAUUCACAAUAGUGAUGGAACUGGAAAGCUUUAUGAUGCAUUAUCAGAUAAUGCUUUAUAUAUGAUGAUAACAGCAGCUGUCACUGGUUGUGUUUUGGCUUUCACUGUUAUGGUAUCACAUUUUUUGCAAAAGCCACGGUACAUUUCAUUAACAUCAAAUAUUUUUAAAUUAGAAAAGCAGUUACUGUGCUUAAAAACAGAAAAUUCCACUUUGAAAGAAGAACUGCAGAAGAAAGAAGAGGAACUCAGUUCUAUACAGACAUCCUCAUUUGAUUCUGAUAAAGUGGUCAUGCUGUUAAAAUCAGAAUUGGAGGCAUCACAGGCUGCACGAACUGAACUGGAGGAGCAGGUGGCUUCUCUGGAGAAGGAGCUGGAAGCUGCAACAGAAGCUGGUCUUGAACUGAACCGGAUGCUGUCAGAUUUCCUCUCCACUCAACAUGGCUCAGAAACAUUGGUGAAAAGUGUGGAGCAUUUACAAAAGCAACUUGAUGCUCAACAACACACUAUCACUGAAAUGAAUAAUAAUCUCAGCAUCAAAAGCCAAGAGAAUGAAAAUCUUCAACAGGAACUGGCUGCAGCAACCGAAAAACUCUCAGUACAAGAAGAGGAGUUACAGAAAACAACAGAUUCGCUUCUCAAAAUUCAGAAGGAAAAAAUUGACCUGAUGUCAGAAAUGGAAGAAAAGAUAAGAGCCCUUCAGCAACAACUAUCUCAGAUAACUGAGAGUACGCGCUCGGAGAUUAGUCGAUUAACAAAUGAGCUGGAAGAGUCCCGGGAAACUGUUGCAAUGCGUGACAGUGAAUUGACAGUACUGCAAGACUGUCUCCGCCAGUUAAAAGCUUUUGAGGAGGGACAAGGUUCAGAGCAGCUGGAUACAUUACUGGAUGUAGGCCACGCCCGUGCCGAACUUGCACUCGUCUCAAUGGAUCGUGACAGUCUGAAGGAUCGUCUCCAUGAUGAAGAAGUGGCUAGGAAAUUGCUUGAAGAUCACGUGAGAGUCAUUAAGGAGGAAGUAAAAACUUUGCAAUCAAAGUAUGAGGAAGCUGAAAAAGAUAAAUUAGAAGCACAGACACGUUUAGAAGUACUGUCAAAUUAUUUCAAAGAGAAAGAAACCCAGUUACAAAGGGAACUGGGCUUACAAGAAGCCAUGUACAUCCAGAAGGAAGGUGAUGCUACCUCUACAUAUGAGAGAAUAAAAUCUUUGCAAGAGGAAAUUGAAAAUUACAAUGGUGUGGUGUCACCCGUGGAAAUGGCAGUUGCUCAAAACUGUGUGCACUCACCAGAGAAGAAGAUGGAAAGUGACAAAAUAAUGCGAGAUUGUCUUGGAUCGCAGAAUGAUACGUUGAAGAAGGAAAUUAUUGAUCAGGAACGAAGUCUGAAAAGUCAGAUUUCAACUCUUGAAAAGAAAGCUCAUGAGAAUUGGGUUGCAGCGCGUCAAGCAGAGCGAAGGUUGGAAGAAAGCCGUCAAGAGGCUGGACAGUUAAGGAACCGCCUCACUGUAGUGGAGAAGAACAUUACAAAUACAUCACAAAACAGCUCGGAAAGUGGCAAAGUUGGUGACAGAUUGCAAGGAGCUGAUUCAAAUGGCGAGCUUCCUGCCUCGUUUCUCCACAUGGGGAUGCAAGAAAUGCAGGAUCCCUCAUUCCAGCAUCGUGACCGCGAUGGACAUCCUGUGUCCCCGCCGCUGAUCCCUGGUCAGCCACUACCUCCUUUCAUGGGCAUUCCUCCGCCAGGAGUUUUCAUGCCCCCACCACCCCUCCCAGGUGCACCAUUUGUUCCACCACCACCUCCGCCCCUUUUUCCAGGAGAUAGACGACCUCCACCAUUAGGGCGCAUGUCCUCACCACCUCCGCCCCCACAUCGCUAUUCUCCUGAGGCUAGAGGUGACUUUUCACCUUAUGACCAGUCUCCCCCCCUUUCACCUCAUGAGUAUGAUGACGACGAUGAUUCACCGCCUCGUAGGUUUCACCAUAGGUCACCACCACCUCCUCCACUUGCACCUUAUCCACCACCUCCACGACAACUUAGUCGCUGGGAUGACCCACAUUCUGGCUUUAGACCCUUGCCUCCUGUACACAGAGAAAGCCCUCGUGAUUCUAAAGAGUGAGUAUGGCUGUGCCAUUCUCAGUAUGCAACUAAGAAGGAAAAUGAAGAGUCGCCUGGAAGUUUAUUAGAAAAAGAUAUUCAUCAAAGGCUUUUAACUGGAUUUGAAGCUGGAUCAGCACUGAGUUCUGGUCAUUCAUCAGAAUCAUUGGAUAAGUCGAGUCGACAUAGUGGAAGAGUAUAGCAGUGGUAGAAUUAGUUGAAGAAAUUCCUGAAGAAAGUUCCUUAUAUGGAAGAAUGGUUAUUAGUGAUACAUCCAGAUAUUGAUGAUGCAAACUAUCAUGUGCUGCAAGCCAGUUACACAACAAAAUUAUUUUAAGUGGUGAUCAGACAUCCAUUAAAUGUAUCAGCUUAUAUUCUUGUGACACAUUUCCAGGAACUUUAUAACAUAAAUGUUUCAUGUCUAAAAGUUGCUGUUACUGCAGCUGUUGAGAUUUAUAAGAAGAACAACAUUCAUUCCUUCGUUGAAAAGAAAUAAAUUUGUGAAUCUGGCCUUGCAUUGUUUUGGAAUGCUAAUAGGCUGUUGCAUAUUGUAUUGAUACUGGAAGUGUUGCAAGAAUAACCACCCAGGAAUUUUAACUGUGAUGCAGAGCACUUCAAAGUGUUUUUUUGAAAGUGUGUAUGUGUUGGAAUAUACACUUUCAAUUUGCCAUUAGUUUUAAAAUGUGCCUUGUGCUACCUAAAGUUGCAUUGCGGUUAAAUAAUACAUUGAGUUUUGUGUGAUUGAAGUUCUGUGCUGUUGGAUGGUGUAAAGUUUGAGAGAAGUUGGUUUGUUGUGGGCGUGUGUUGUGGAAUAUUUGUAGCUUUCAACUUGUCACAUGUAUGAAAUAGAAUGAAAUAUUGCGUCCUGUGGAAAGCCUGUCUCAGUGUUAAUUGGUAGACAGUACAAUAUGCACCUCAUCUCUCUGUAUCAUAACUUUCCAUUGUCCUGAAGAUUGAGUAUACUUUUGCGAUAUCAUAGCUGUGACUUGUAUUGAACAGUACAAACAUUUAUUUUUGUUAUGUUUUUGACACACAUUAACUUUUUGUUCUUGUGCAAAAAAUUGAGAGCAUCCUUUCUGUAUUAUUUUAUAAACACAACAACAAUUUUGAAAGUUUCUGUUAUAGGUGCUACUGUUUUAUACUUUUUUUAAAAUAACAAAAUAGUUUUUAUUUCCCCAAUUUUAAUGAGAUUGAGAUUUUAGUUUUGGUUGUUCACAGAAAAUAUAAUAAAUAUUGAAUCAGCGAAGUUAAAUGUGCCGGGAAGUCACAGAUUUUGGUGAUAAUAUGCAGACUUGAGCAGCAUUAUAUCAGAAUGGCUAUACUUUCAUUAAAAGGGAUGACAUGAUUUUUUCACUUGUUGAAGUAUAAAACAAGUGAUUGCAUGUUGAACAUCGUAAUUGAUACAUUGUGCUGUAUUCUUAUUUCGUGAGAGUUUAUUUUGAUAGGUAACAAGCUCUUUUUGUGCAUUCCCUCUUAUGAAGUUUUAUUGGAAAAUGUAAGAUUCAAGAGGAUGUACAUGCAGAAAAAACGUGUUUUUAUUAUGUCACAUCACUAUUGCUGUCGAAACAUGCCAUAUUUUCAAGAAAACUUAAUUGUCCAUUUUUGGCUGUAACUAUAUUACAGAAAAUGAUGAUAGAAAUUUGGGACCUGCAUCUUGUAAUUAUGUUGUUAAUAUUUAUUGUAAAUUCUUGUAUAUAAUUUAUGCUGAAUGAAUUUUAUGUUCAACAGUUGCCGAAUUGGAUGAUAAAGAAUUGUUGUGGGUGUUUAUGGCAGGUUGAAAACAUACAUAACAUGGGGAAGAAGUUAACUCAGCCAAAUGGAAUGUUUUAGAUCAUUCAAAACAUCUAAGCAUGUGUGUUGAGGUGAUUACAAUCUAAUUAUGUGAAAACAGUGAAUAGCCUGUUCCUCUAGUGAAGACUGUACAUGAAAAAUUGUUGUGUGUAUGUUUUUACAUGAAUUUCUUGUGUAAAUAGAAUAUUAUAUUGUUUAUAA